rnacentral:rRNA from 1 species
UACGUAGGGCGCAAGCGUUGUCCGGAAUUAUUGGGCGUAAAGAGCUCGUAGGCGGCUUGUCACGUCGGAUGUGAAAGCCCGGGGCUUAACUCCGGGUCUGCAUUCGAUACGGGCUAGCUAGAGUGUGGUAGGGGAGAUCGGAAUUCCUGGUGUAGCGGUGAAAUGCGCAGAUAUCAGGAGGAACACCGGUGGCGAAGGCGGAUCUCUGGGCCAUUACUGACGCUGAGGUGCGAAAGCGUGGGGAGCAAACAGG